CUUGACACACAUAAGAGGUCCAGCCUGCCCAGUGACUAAGUUCAACGGCCGCGGUAUCCUAACCGUGCGAAGGUAGCGUAAUCACUUGUUCUUUAAAUGAGGACUAGUAUGAAUGGCACCACGAGGGUUAUACUGUCUCCUUUUUUUAAUCAAUGAAACUGAUCUCCCCGUGAAGAAGCGGGGAUAAAUCUAUAAGACGAGAAGACCCUAUGGAGCUUUAAACAAUUAUAGCACUGGCCCACACCUCUUAUUCUUCUGAGAUAUAACUAUUAUAUAGGCCAACAUGACUAUUAGUUUUAGGUUGGGGUGACCGCGGAGCAAAAAUUAACCUCCACGUUGAACGGAGCUACUCCUGAGCUAAAAGCUACAACUUUAAGCACCAAUAAACUGACAUCAAUUGACCCAAUAUAUUGAACAACGAAC
rnacentral:rRNA from 1 species